rnacentral:misc_RNA from 1 species
AAAAAAAAAAAAAAAAAAACACAAGAUACUCGAGCAGCUCUUGGAACAAGAACAACCGAUUGUUUUCAAUCGAAACCCCUACCAGGUGGGACAGUUCCAUCUCUCGUCUUCAUUUUUUUUUUUCUCUCCUAGAUCCCUCUUGUAAAGCUUUUGAAUAACGGUUUUCCCAUUUCAAUUAUACCAAUCAUUGACCGGAAAAAGCUGCAUUUAGCUGUUUUGCGCCAAGUGCUUGGUAUAAUGAUACUCGGAGAAUUAAUUUAGUUUUGAAAUUUUUUUCCGUUCUUGGAUUGCUUUCAUUGUCAAACCAGAUUGAAAUAAACCAGCUAUAAGCCAGAUGUUGAAAAAGAUCGAUUUUUCAAGUGUCAAUAUUGCUAUAUAUUGUUUCUGGUUGUGUAAUUCCGAAGAAAUUCAGACAAUUUAGUUUUUAGAAAUGUAAUUAAUUAAGCAUUAACUUUGAAUCACAUAUGGUCUAAAGGGAGUUGGCUGAAUAUGAGACUUUCUAUUGGAAGCCUCGACUGCAUAACCCUAGCUUAGUUAUUUUACAAAGCAUUGUUGAGUUGGUGGUGUCUUUUUGUUUAGACCUUUGCUUAGUUAUGGUUAUUGAUUAAUUGGGCUUUUUUUUUAUCCUCUUUUAAUCUUUUGCUUAUUUGUGGAUAUUGAUUGCCGGCAGUUAUUUGGUACUGUCUUUUGAAUGCUGAUUUUCAGACUCUUGAUAAAGAUGGUUUCUUAAUGUUCAUUGUAACCAGGCGAGACUAGAGAGAAACAUAAAUGGAGAAAAAGGGGAAAAAGAAGGUGCUAAAAGACAAGGCAGAUGCUGUUAACGAUGAUGAUGAUUUGUGCUGGUGGUUUGUUCACAAAGGAAUUGAAUCCUCAUUCCUGUGUAUUGCUGUGUUUGGGUUGUUAGUUCGAGCAACUGUAUCACUCCAUCCAUACUCUGGCGCCGGCAAUCCCCCCAAGUUUGGUGACUAUGAGGCACAGCGGCAUUGGAUGGAAAUCACGCUCAAUCUUCCAGUGAAGGAGUGGUACCACAACAGCACCAACAAUGAUCUUAGUUACUGGGGACUUGACUACCCUCCCCUCACUGCCUACCAGAGUUAUGUUCAUGGCAUUUUCUUGAGAUACUUUGAACCUGCCUCUGUUUCCCUUUUUAAUUCCCGUGGUUAUGAGUCCUAUCUUGGGAAACAGCUCAUGAGAUGGACAGUCUUAUCCUCUGAUGCCCUGAUUUUUUUCCCUGCUGUUCUUUAUUUUCUUUUUGUGUAUUAUGGCAAUCACUCCAGUGGACGUAAAACUGAUGUAGCAUGGCACAUUGCAAUGAUUUUAAUCAAUCCAUGUUUGAUCUUAAUUGACCAUGGCCAUUUUCAGUAUAAUUGUAUCAGCUUGGGCCUUACCAUAGGAGCUAUUGCUGCAGUUCUCGCUCACAAGGACCUUGUAGCAUCUUUUCUCUUCUGUCUUUCUCUCAAUCAUAAGCAGAUGAGUGCCUAUUUUGCACCUGCUUUUUUCAGCCAUCUCUUAGGUAACUGCCUAAAGCGUAAGAAUCCCGUGCUUGAGGUUUCAAAGCUGGGAUUGGUGGUCAUGGGAACGUUCACUAUUAUUUGGUGGCCAUAUCUUCAUUCAAGAGAUACAGUUUUGGAGGUUCUCUUCCGCCUAGCUCCUUUUGAGAGAGGGAUAUACGAGGAUUAUGUAGCUAACUUUUGGUGCACCACAUCGAUUCUCAUUAAGUGGAAGAGAUUAUUUGCAACACAAUCACUGAAGUUUCUCAGCUUAGUAGCCACCGUAUUAACCUGUCUACCUUCAAUGGUUCAGCAAAUAUUGGCUCCGAGCAGAAAAGGUUUCCUUUAUGGGCUGUUGAAUAGCUCUUUCUCAUUCUACUUAUUUUCAUUUCAAGUGCAUGAGAAGUCUAUUCUGCUGCCACUUCUGCCUGCAAGCCUACUAGCUACAGAAUUGCGUGGGCCAUUCAAGUUAUUAAUGCAUUAUGCAUUGUUUUCUAUGUUUCCUCUUCUGUGGCGAGACAAAUUGAUUAUUCCAUAUGUGGCUCUUUAUGCUCUCUUCUUCCUUCUUUACUUUACACCCAGCAGAAGAAGAGAAGCUAAAAUUCAUCAUUCCACCACGCUUACCGGCCUCUCAAUUUUGUUGACCUUUCUGUAUCUGUGCUCUCUUCUUCUUCAUAUAAUUUACUUGACCAUUCAUCCACCAAAGAAGUAUCCUUUCCUUUUUGAAGCAAUGAUUAUGCUUCUCUGCUUUUCUCACUUCGUAUUGUUUGUUUUUUACACCAAUGCACGCCAAUGGAUGUUGUCUGGACAAUAUACAUCGAAGGAUAAAGAAAAGAAACUGAAUUGACCUUUUAAUUCUGGGGAUUAGGUUUGUAUGAUUGAUAUUUAACAUUUUGUUUGUGUUUGUGGCAACAUUGAAGUGAAGGUGGCAAAUUCUUAUGUAAGCAUUGGGUGAGAAAUUAUUUAAGUGAACCAUAUCUUAAUUGAUUUAGGAAGUUUAUAAUUUCCUAUUUUAGCACGACACACAGGGAAUUGCCUGCAUGAUUUCAUGUUUAUUUGCUCCAUUGGUUGAGAAUGCAAACUUUCUGGUUUAAAUUUGCGCAGAAUUUCUGAUGUUGAUGGCAAAGACUUCUUUCAAUUCUUCAG